CUUACAAAAUAGUACAAACAUCAGCAUAAAUCAAAGAUUUUUCCAAAAGUGAAACAUUCUUCAAACAAAAAAAAAAGUAUUUGUGCAUUUAUCUAUAAGAUAAAUGCAAUAAAAUGCAAAAUAAUUAAAUGGAAGAAACCGCAAAUCAUCGAGCAGUUAAAAUUUUUGGGAAUUACCGAAAAUGUGCUAUCGAGUGUAAGGUAGAAAAAAUAACAAAAACAAAAGAUACGAAUUAAGGAAAAAACCGUGCGAGAAAUUCAACUGCGGCAGAAAUACCAUAAAAUAGUUCAAACAAGCAAAACAAAAAAGAAAAAAAAAUCCAACAGCAAAAAUGGCUGUCAAAUCGACGCGCAGUCCGUUGAUAACACAACAGCAACCAACAAUAGUGCCAACACCAACACCAACAGCAGGCACAAUGCCCGGCACAAGCUUGCGUUCAAGACUGAUCUUCCCCAGAAGUCAUCAUCAUACACAGGUAACCACAAAGAUGUCUGAUUUUUCGGAUAGUUCACAUAGUGGCGUUGCCAGUCCAGCAGCGUCGUUAAUUGAAAAUUUCCACAAGAAGAAUAGCGGCAAUACACCAACAACAAGUGGCGGCGUCGGCACCGGUACAGUGUCCACAGUCUCAACGCCCGCCAUAAAUGGCCUCACAGCGGUUAGCUGCAAUGGUGGCGGCGCUAAUAAUGGUUUAAGCAAUGCAACAACAACGACUGUGGGGCGACACAUAAAUACAAGUUCCAGUUCUAGUAGUAGCGUUAAGGAAACAUCAUCCACAUCACAACAGGUCGUUAACAGCAGUACAACAACACGCGUUGAAAAGAAACGUUUACAUCACAUUACAUCCUCAUCAUCUUCGUCCACCUCCUCGUCGUCGACAUCAUCGUCCGAAAUGAAGACGGCAGCACUGCAACGCGAUUUAAGCGAAAUGAAAAAUUCCAUGUCUGAAAUAACCGAUCUUGUUGGCCGCAAUGCCAACAACACGAAUAGCGGUGCACUGGGCAGCAGCAGCAAUAAUUUGGCCAUCUCAGCAGCAGCAGCACAUCAACCAUCCAUAAACGAUCUCACACAAUUGAAAGCGCUGAACAGUGCGGAUGCUAUUGAAAAUUUGAAAAAGAAAAUCCGCUCAUCCAUUGAAAAUCUCGUCGACAGCGAUGCCGAACCGUUGGUUACAUUUCCCGAUGCCGAUGAUGAUCAUCACAAAUUGGCCGAUUUGGUUAGUGUCUCGAAUGGCAAACUUACCACCACCAAUGGCUUGGGCGGUUCGGGUAAAAUUGUCGAUACCGUUAAAUUCGAAGAGAGAAGCACAAAGACCGAAUCGAAGACGAAAGUCGUAGCCGAUGGUUUCAGUACGGAGCAGGCAACUAGCAAUUUGGCUGAAAUGAAACGACUACAGACGGGUGAUAUCGACUAUCAGGAGGCUAAAGCGGCAGCAGCGAUGCGUAAUCGCACCGAAAUGGAUGGUGUGAAAACGGAAGAGAAUGCCGCCGUUAUACAGGAAGCCCUUUCGCUACGCACUGGCGAUAUUACUCAACAGGCUAGCAAUAAUGUGGCCGCCGCCAGUAUUAAAGUGCAAAGUGACACCUUCUCCGCCGACAAGAAAGCCAUCUCACAAUCGCAGCAAUCACAGACGAUGACCUCGAACGGCAUCAUUAGCCAGGAGAAGCACGUCUCGUCCGCAUCGCAAGCGAAUUACACAAUGACGCAUAAAGGCGUUUCCAGUUCGGGCAGCAGCAUGAUUUCCACCUCCUCGCAAAUGUCCGCCACCAAUGGCGCACUCAUCAAGCUGCACGAUCUUAAGUUGGACGACUUGAAAGCGCUGACGUCCGGUAGCGGUCAGCGUGAAAUCGAGCAGGCAAUUGCCAAGUAUUCCGGUGUAUUGCAGUCAUUCGUGCACACGCUGGAAGAUUCCAAGGCUGCACAGGAGAAAUCCAUGUAUUUGGAAAAGAUCAAUGAAGUUAUGCAGCGCGCCUGGGCUGUGCCCACACAUGGACAUGAGCUCGGCUACAGUUUGUGCAAUUCGUUGCGAAAAAAUGGCGGUCUGGAUUUGCUCAUGAAGAACUGCGUGCAGGGCGAUGAGAAAACCAUCUUCUCUUCGGCCAAGUUGCUGGAGCAGUGCCUCACCACAGAGAAUCGCACACAUGUCGUGGACAAUGGACUCGAUAAAGUGGUGCAUGUGGCUUGCAAGUGCACGAGGAAUACCGAAUAUUCGCGCGUGGGUACCGGCAUACUGGAACAUCUAUUUAAACACUCGGAAGGCACGUGCUCAGAUGUCAUCAAAUUGGGUGGCUUGGAUGCCGUACUAUUCGAAUGUCGUACAAGUGAUGUGGAAACUCUGAGACAUUGCGCAAGUGCCUUAGCCAAUUUGUCUUUGUAUGGUGGCGCCGAAAAUCAAGAGGAAAUGAUCUCACGCCAAGUGCCCAUGUGGCUGUUCCCGUUGGCCUUCCACGAUGACGACAACAUCAAGUACUAUGCCUGCCUUGCGAUCGCGGUGCUAGUCGCCAAUAAGGAAAUCGAAGCUGAAGUCAUCAAGACGGGUUGCCUCGACUUGGUGGAGCCCUUCGUCACCACACACGACCCCUCAGAGUUCGCACGUUCAAAUCUGGCGCACGCGCACGGCCAGAGCAAACAUUGGCUGGAACGUUUGGUGCCAGUGCUUAGUUCGAAUCGCGAGGAAGCGCGCAAUUUAGCUGCCUUCCAUUUCUGCAUGGAAGCGGGCAUUAAGCGCGGUCAGGGCAACACUGAAAUAUUUCAUGAAAUCGGCGCGAUCGAAGCGCUCAAGACUGUAGCUAGUUGCCCCAAUGCAAUUGCCUCAAAGUUUGCGGCGCAAGCGCUACGGCUAAUCGGCGAAACCGUGCCGCACAAACUGUCACAGCAAGUGCCACUGUGGUCUGUCGAAGACGUCCAAGAGUGGGUGAAGCAAAUCAACUUCGGACAGUUUGUGAAACAAUUUGAAGAAUCCCAGGUAGAUGGCGAUCUGCUGCUCAAGCUCAACGAGGACAAUCUACGCGAUGACAUUGGUAUCGCUAAUGGCAUUCUGCUGAAACGUUUCGAGCGCGAGCUGCAAAAUCUCAAACGCAUGGCUGACUACUCCUCCAAGGACACAGCGAGAAUGCAUCAGUUCUUGGCCGAAAUCGGGCCGGAAUACUGCACCUACACAUAUGCAAUGCUGCAUGCAGGCAUAGAUCGAAACUCGUUGCCACAGCUGAAUGAAGAUAUGUUAAUCGCGGAGUGUGGCAUCAAAAAUUCGAUACAUCGGCUGCGCAUUCUGAAUGCAGUCAAGAACCUGGAAAACUCAUUGCCCAGCUCAUCGGAAGAGAAUAUGGCGAAAACGUUGGAUGUCUUCGUGAGCUAUCGGCGCUCGAAUGGCUCGCAAUUGGCAAGCUUGUUGAAGGUGCACUUGCAGCUCCGCGGCUUCUCGGUGUUCAUCGAUGUUGAGCGCCUGGAAGCGGGCAAAUUCGAUAACGGACUGUUGAACAGUAUUCGCCAGGCGAAGAAUUUCGUUUUAGUAUUAACACCAAAUGCGCUGCAGCGUUGCUUAGACGACGAAGAAGGCAAGGAUUGGGUGCAUCGUGAAAUCGUAGCGGCCUUGAAAUCAAAUUGCAAUAUUAUUCCAAUAAUCGAUCAACAAUUUAUGUGGCCAGAACCCGAUCGAUUGCCCGAAGACAUGCGCAGCGUUUGUCAUUUCAAUGGUGUCACCUGGAUACAUGACUAUCAGGAUGCCUGCAUCGAUAAACUAGAGAGAUUCAUGCGUGGUGAAAAGAAUUUGGAUCGGCUUGUAGGCAUACCCAGCACACCCGGUUCGGUGAGCUACCAAAGAAUGCACAGCAACGAUUCCGACUAUCAGCAGAGUGUAGGCGGCGGCAGUGUCGUCGGUGGCAGUGGCAGUGGUGUUGUAUGUGGCAGCGGCGGCGCCGGUGGUGCGGCGAAUGGCAGCGGACAAGACCAUAAGAGAGCAUCAACUACUUCUUCUUGUUGCGCCUAUUGCCUGAAAUCGUCGUGCACGUUCACGCCCAUUUCAACAAUGUGUCUGUCUCCUACGCAACAGCAUCCCAGUGUCACCUAAAUUGGACAUCCAUAACUCUACCGUGGACUGUUGUUUAAAAACGCAUACAUAAAAGCUCUUAAGCCCAAAUGUCUCAUGCAAACGCAAAAAGCGCUACUACAUGCCACUAGUAACCAGUAGCUAUCCGAAAUAUUGGCCAUUACUAACCACAUUGUUAGCGAUUGCUGCAUUGCGAGAUGUCUUUGAGCAUAAACUGCGUUUUCUUUAAAUUAACGACUUAGAAGCUGACGAUAUACCAGGGUUAAUUUUAACAAAAGCAACGAGACCCGCCUCCGAAAGAAUUUUGGUUUGGUAGUUUUUAAAGGUAUAUUAAAGCCAAACCUGGCGUAAAAAUAAAGAUUACAGCGGCGAAUGGCAAGCGCAAGGGGAUGCAGGUGGCCAAUUUUUUAAAUUUGCAAAACUUUGGAGCGAGAGACUUUCGUCACUUUUGACUUCCAGAUCAAAGUAAUUGCUAAGCACUCGAGCUCCAAGGAAGGCGCAGAACUAAAGGAAUUAUAUGGAUCCUGGCUUUUAUCGACGGAGAAAACGAGUAGGGUUAGCUUUAAACUAAAAAAAAAAAUCUAUGUAAUCAAGUUAAUCUAACUAAUGAUACAUAUAUGUAGGUACUAUUUUAAAUACGUAAUUGAUCACAGUUUUAUGAAUAGCAUAAGAUUUUGGAAAAGUAUUGUUAUUAUUUUACUAAGAAUACAACGAAUCGAAAUAAAAGUUGGAAGUAUUAUGUC
rnacentral:misc_RNA from 1 species